AGGAAACUUGGAAUGACUUUUCAUAGGUAAGAAUAGUUUUUGGCUCUUUUUUCAUUAUGAAAUCUUGUUGAGAGCUUCCAGUCUAUGAGAGCUAACUAGUUAGCCACUAGCAAAACACUAAGGCGAGCUAGCAGCUUGACAACCAAAUACCAGACGAUUAAUAGUAGCUGUAGUAUAGUUGUACAAGCAGUAGUAGUAAUACUAAAAGUACAAGCAGCAGUAGUAGUAUAAACAGCUGUUAGAGUCGUAGUAGUAUCAGCAUUUGUAAUGGUACUAGAAGUUGUAGUAGCAGUGCCAGUAUCAGCAGCAGUAGUGAGUGUACUAGUACUAGUUGCAUUGCUAUGACUACCACCAAUACUACCAAUAGUAGUUAUAAAGCCUAACUCAUGUAUAUCCAGAUUACCAUCUAUGUUCUUCCUCCAAACCCAUUUUAUGAUUGGGAUUACAGGCAGUUAUUUAGGACUAAAAUAAUUGAAAUGUUACUAAACAAGGUUAUACUUAUCAAAUUAAAUAGCUCUAGUCUCCAGUAUAUUGGCGAAUUCGGUUCUUUGUACUUAAUUUAUUAGCAUGAUUUCUUUUUAAUAUGUUGUGUACAGACUUAAUUACUUCUCUGUCUACUUUUCUUACUCCAUGUAGGUUUCCCAGAGACUAUGGGUUGAGGAGGAAUUGGAAGUUUGUCAGCUUAGACCUGGUGUCAUUCCAUCAGUGUUAAACUUCCUGGCUCAUCUUGGAAGAGUAUGUGCCAGAAAGACCACGACCAAGCAGCCUUGAGAUCUUAGGCAGCGUCUCCCUGAGGUCCCUCUCUGUCUCCCCACACAUCCACCAACCACUGGAACACAUCUCCAAAGUUCUGCCGGGCCAGCUCAGCUUCCCCUCAGAAGAAGUGCUGCCACCUGACAGAUGAAGGAGCCUUUUGAGAGGCAGCUGGCAUCGUGAUUGGACUGUACUUUGGUCUGUUCCAAUCCAGCUUCAGCUCCAGAGACGGCAGGCGGGACGAGUCAACGGAGGCCGGGUGGACGAAGGCAUGCAGCUGAGUACAAUCCAGAAAACAACAGAGGAGGAGUGCAGCGGCCCAGGACCAGAACAACCAGAACCAAAGAACUACAGACUCUUCACAACCUGCUCUAACUCUUGGUACAGGACCUCACCACACGGGUCAAGAAGGUUUCUGUCUCAUUUCUACUCUGAAGCUCACCUUCUCCUGCUCAAACUGCUGACAAAUGUUUCUGCUGCUCUAAAGUCUGCUCUCCAGAACUUCCUAAAAACUCUCAAAGUCUCUUCUGCUGCAGGUUGCUUUGUAGAACUGUUGCAGAAAACCUCACUAAACCACAUGGAGGGGCCUCAAGAUAGUCGUCCAAAUGAAACCGUACAAAAACCAAACUAGCACAACCCAAACGCUAAAGUCUCCUGCAGCCUACCAGAGAACCUCUGAGAACAGAGAAUCAGGACAGGAACUCUUACCUUCUGGACAACCAACGUUGGUUCACAAACAAGAAUACAGAAUGUGUCUGACCAGAAACCUCUGAAGACUCACUACAGCCAAGAUAAAGACACAACUCAGCUGCACCAAAUCCACUAAUCACUGCACACAUUAGCACCAUGUGCUAACUGUGGCUAAAGAACCACAUUUACCAAGACAACUAUCCAGUACAAAGCCCUAAAACACACCAAGAAACACAUUAAAGACGAUUUUACUGCUGGAAGCUGCAAGCCAACGCCUAAAGAACAAACUGAAGCAAUGGAGCCAAACCCGGUUCAGUGGUGAACAGAAGCAGAGGAAAUGUUUGUCUGCAGCUAAAUAAAGCAGGAAGACACUGAGCUGCUCAGGUGUUCCUGAUAACACCAAGCAGCCACCUGGACAGCCAAUAGGAACACAGCUUACUGGAAGUCCAGAGGGCUGGGUUAGUGAAGGAAAUUUAGUUUAAAGUUGAAGCAGAAAGUUAACAAAGAAAGUUGAAAACCACCUUCUGAUACCUGAAAUCUCUGAGUUUUCACACAAAGAACACCUGAACAUGUCAAACUGGUUCCAUAGUAGAACCAUCAUUGUAAAAAUGUCAUAGUAUGGUGUGUUGCUCAAAAAACAUUAGGACCCGGCUGUCAGGGACAAACAUGUAAGAAACAUGAGAACAGAGAGAACCCAACCAGUAGGUCACAGUUUAUCAUCCCCCAGUCAUCUCCUGAAGUCCAUAUGGUGAGAGACAUCAGUAUCUGGUUGUUAAUUUACCAGAGGAUGCUUAUAAUCAUGCUGAUGUGGUCUGUACUCUACAGUAUUUUAGUGACUCAAUAAAUGCCUAAGUUGUUUUUUAUUAAA